CCCCCGGGCGCGCCCCGUCCCACCCCAUCCCGCAGCCCCGGGCAUUGUUCGGCCGCCCCCUCCCCUUUUUUCCCUUCCCCUCCGGUGCCGUGCCGUGCCGUGCCGUGCCUCCUACCCCAGCUGCUCCUUUCCCUACGGUUCCGGGCCAUGGUGGGGGCUGCCCGGGGCUACCCGGGAGGCGGUGUCGGUGGCUACGGGAGGCUCCGUGCGCGCUCCGAGCCGCGCUGCGUCUGGCGAGGCUGCCGCGGGGGCGGGGGGCGGGCGGGGGCACCGGCAGCACCCCCGCCCGCUUCUACGGCACGGCUCGGCUCGGCACAGCACGGCUCGGCUCGGCACAGCACGGCACGGCAAGGGACGGAGCCCCAAGGGGUGCCCGCAGCCGGAGCCGGCUCGUCCCCGGGCGCUGCGCACCCUGCGCCGGGUACCCACGGCUCGGCCCCCCGCUGUCAUCCCCCCGUGGGGUGGGUGGGGGUGGAGGUAGGGGGUGAGCUGCAGAAGGGUAGCCCAAAGGGGUAGCCCAAAGGGCUGGGGGUCACGCCUGCACGCCCCUCGCCCCGGGAUUGUGUCCUGCUUGGGGUGCCCUGAAGGUCUGGGGGUGCACACGCACCAUGGACACCCCCUCCCCAUGCACACUUGGGCUCCCCAUGCACACAGUAGGCAGAAAUCCUGCCCUGCUCACCCCUGGUGCACACUAGGGUGAAGAAAUCACUGGUCGGAUCCUGCCCUGGGGUGCUGCCCCCCAUCCAUGGCAGCAGCAUCCCCAGGAGGUGCGCUCUGCACCUCUGGAUGCAGCGCAAGAGGUGCCAGGGUUGGGCACCCCAGGAUUGAGCUGCCCCACAGCUGGUAACACACCCCCCAGUUCCCCCGUAUCAGCAAGCGGUCAUGUUUGGGAUGGUAACGAGAGGGUUUCCCUUGUGUCUGGGGUUGAUUCACUGCUCUGUCACGCGAGACCGUGACUCAGCCUGAGCGCAAGGGAACGCCCAGGCGUGAAACUCGGGCAGGGGAGCAGCAGCACCAGCCCCGGCCGUGCCCCAACUGGCCCUCGCCCACAGCUUAUGGCCUGUGUUGAUGCUUGCCCACGCUUCUGCUCGCCAAGAAGCAGAUUGAGCCACCCGGCACAGCUCCGUGCUGCCCUUUGGAAGGAGCACGGUGCAGCACUCGAGGCACAGCCACCUAAACUGGAAAUGCUGGGGGAGCGCUGCUCCAUGCUGCACGCUGGCCUGCGGUGGUCAGGGAAAACCCAGAUGGCUGCUCGGCCUCGUUGGGUUCGCAGGAACCAUCGGGAUCUGUUCUUUGUGAAAGCAGGGAAAACACACAAAAAUGAUGUAAUGUUCCAGUAGGUGCCAAAGUCACGUUUCGUUGCGCUCCCGUUGGUAUGCUGAUACUUAAUUCCUAAGUGCCCUCUCGAGCACCCAGCGACUGCCCCCCCUUGGCUUCCCCUCCGUGUUUAUAGCGUUGGAGGGAAAGAUGUAAUUUUGCCUGGCUCACGUGGCCGGCAGCUGAAUCCUCCUGCCCGCAGCCUGCGGGUUGCCCGGCCCCUCGCUGCCUUUGCAGGAGCUCCCUGACAACUUUUAUAAAUAACCCCUGUAAAAUAGAUAUUAUUGUAAACAUAAUAAAAA
rnacentral:lncRNA from 1 species